rnacentral:rRNA from 1 species
UCAUGGCUCAGGAUGAACGCUGGCGGCGUGCUUAACACAUGCAAGUCGAACGAAGCAUUUUAACUUGAUUUCUUCGGAAUGAUUGUUACUUUGACUGAGUGGCGGACGGGUGAGUAACGCGUGGGUAACCUGCCUCAUACAGGGGGAUAACAGUUAGAAAUGACUGCUAAUACCGCAUAAGCGCACGGUAUCGCAUGAUACAGUGUGAAAAACUCCGGUGGUAUGAGAUGGACCCGCGUCUGAUUAGCUAGUUGGUGAGGUAACGGCCCACCAAGGCGACGAUCAGUAGCCGACCUGAGAGGGUGACCGGCCACAUUGGGACUGAGACACGGCCCAAACUCCUACGGGAGGCAGCAGUGGGGAAUAUUGCACAAUGGGCGAAAGCCUGAUGCAGCGACGCCGCGUGAACGAAGAAGUAUUUCGGUAUGUAAAGUUCUAUCAGCAGGGAAGAUAAUGACGGUACCUGACUAAGAAGCACCGGCUAAAUACGUGCCAGCAGCCGCGGUAAUACGUAUGGUGCAAGCGUUAUCCGGAUUUACUGGGUGUAAAGGGAGCGCAGGCGGUACGGCAAGUCUGAUGUGAAAGCCCGGGGCUCAACCCCGGUACUGCAUUGGAAACUGUCGAACUAGAGUGUCGGAGGGGUAAGCGGAAUUCCUAGUGUAGCGGUGAAAUGCGUAGAUAUUAGGAGGAACACCAGUGGCGAAGGCGGCUUACUGGACGAUAACUGACGCUGAGGCUCGAAAGCGUGGGGAGCAAACAGGAUUAGAUACCCUGGUAGUCCACGCUGUAAACGAUGAAUACUAGGUGUCGGGACCCACAGGGUUUCGGUGCCGCAGCAAACGCAAUAAGUAUUCCACCUGGGGAGUACGUUCGCAAGAAUGAAACUCAAAGGAAUUGACGGG